UUGAUUGCCAACUGAAUGUGAGCCUGCAGGGUGAUGUGGCUGCAAAAAAGGCAAAUGCAUGGUUAGCCUUCCUCGACGCAAGAACAUUUCCCAGAUACUGCAAAUAAUAAUUCCUCUUUAUUUAGCUUUGGACCUGUCACUUUAAAUGAUCUUCUCUUGGCAUCAGGAUUUAAUAUUUUUUAUUCUCCACUCUGAGUAUGGCUGUUAAUGGUUUCUCAUCGCUACAGAAUGGGAAAGUUCCUCCAAUAAUUGGUUCCUUGGGGGCCAAUAAAACAGAGGUCUGUCUCACGUGGCUCAUUCUCACGGUCCCUCCAGAUGAGUCCUUGUUAGAGGAGGAGGGGGAAUCAGAUGAGGAGAUCAGACCCUCCAGAGCUGAACGUGGAGUUCAGUGUGGACAUUUCUCUUUCUUCCAGAACUGUAGCUCAGAAAUUUCUCCUUGAAAAUAUGCCAUUCCAAGUCCACAUGGAUGGGUGUUGCCCCCAGUUGAUGGAACAACGCACAACAUCAUACAAAAGUGCAAGGGCUUCAAGGAGACAUUUUCUGGAGUAAGAGCUCAAGAAUUUAUCCUUGAUUUUCUCUUAAUGA